CCUACGGGUGGCAGCAGUGGGGGAUAUUGCACAAUGUGGGGAACCCUGAUGCAGCGACGCCGCGUGGGUGAAGAAGCGCCUCGGCGCGUAAAGCCCUGUCAGCAGGGACGAAAAUGACGGUACCUGAAGCAGAAGCCCCGGCUAACUACGUGCCAGCAGCCGCGGUAAUACGGAGGGGGCAAGCGUUAUCCGGAUUUACUGGGUGUAAAGGGGGCGCAGCCGGCGUUGCAAGCAAGGCGUGAAAGCUCGGGGCUCAACCCCGGGACUGCUCUUGGAACUGCGUGGCUGGAGUGCAGGAGGGGCAGGCGGAAUGACUGGUGUAGCGGUGAAAUGCGUAGAGAUCAGGAGGAACACCGGUGGUGAAGGCGGCCUGCUGGACUGCAACUGACGUUGAGGCCCGAAAGCGUGGGGAGCAAACAGGAUUAGAUACCCGUGUAGUC
rnacentral:rRNA from 1 species